AAAAAGGCAAACUGUUUGUUUCCGUGUCUAACUUUGACUGUCCGUCUUAUCUGAAUUUUUUUAUAAUUUAUAUUUUCAUUGUUGUUAGAUGAUAAAACAUGCGUGACUUGUCUUUUUAAUUUUUUUAUAAUUUUUUCAAAUAAGACGGACGGGCUAACCUUCCUUCCAAAUCCCAU
rnacentral:pre_miRNA from 1 species